GCAGUGGGGAAUUUUGGACAAUGGGGGAAACCCUGAUCCAGCAAUGCCGCGUGUGCGAAGAAGGCCUUCGGGUUGUAAAGCACUUUUGGCAGGAACGAAACGGCGCCGGAUAAUACCUGGUGUCACUGACGGUACCUGCAGAAUAAGCACCGGCUAACUACGUGCCAGCAGCCGCGGUAAUACGUAGGGUGCAAGCGUUAAUCGGAAUUACUGGGCGUAAAGCGUGCGCAGGCGGUUCGGAAAGAAAGAUGUGAAAUCCCAGGGCUCAACCUUGGAACUGCAUUUUUAACUACCGGACUAGAGUAUGUCAGAGGGGGGUGGAAUUCCACGUGUAGCAGUGAAAUGCGUAGAUAUGUGGAGGAACACCGAUGGCGAAGGCAGCCCCCUGGGAUAAUACUGACGCUCAUGCACGAAAGCGUGGGGAGCAAACAGGAUUAGA
rnacentral:rRNA from 1 species